rnacentral:rRNA from 1 species
AUUGAACGCUGGCGGCACGCCUAACACAUGCAAGUCGAGCGGCAACAUGGUUAGUAGCAAUACUAACUGAUGGCGAGCGGCGGACGGGUGAGGAACACGUAGGAACCUGCCCAAGAGAGGGGGAUAACUAAGGGAAACUUUAGCUAAUACCGCAUAAUCUCUGGCGAGAAAAGUUGCCCGUAAGGGUAGCGCUUUUGGAGGGGCCUGCGUCCGAUUAGUUAGUUGGUGAGGUAAUGGCUCACCAAGACGAUGAUCGGUAACUGGUCUGAGAGGACGACCAGUCACACUGGGACUGAGACACGGCCCAGACUCCUACGGGAGGCAGCAGUGGGGAAUCUUGGACAAUGGGGGCAACCCUGAUCCAGCGAUGCCGCGUGGGUGAAGAAGGCCUUCGGGUUGUAAAGCCCUUUAGGCUGGGAAGAAGAGUUUGGGGUGAAUAGCCCUGAACUUUGACGGUACCAGCAGAAUAAGCACCGGCAAACUCUGUGCCAGCAGCCGCCGUAACAC